ensembl:lncRNA
AGGUAAGGGUUGGUAGUAGAAGUGAGAGGAUGUCAUCUAGAGAUCUUUGCCUACCUGAGGACCUUACAGGCCUUCUAAAGGUUAAGGCCUUUUAGCUGAAAGCUUUCUCAGCUGAGUUUAAGAGGACUUCUACUGAGAGCAAAUAAGAUUUUUCCGUGGCUUAAUAGGACUUUCUGGUGACCAAGUUCAUCUGGAGGGAGAUAAAACAACAAAUUCCAGUGAAGAAAUAAGGUGCGCUCAUGCUUGCUCUGAUUUAAAAUAUCAGCUUUCUUAUAAAAGAAACUUUCAUAUCUAAAUAUACUCUCAUAUUUCUAAAGACAGUGAUGACUGGAAAAGAUUACUAAGAACUGAAAGAAUGUAAAUAUCACUUUCAGAAUCAGUAAGAUGAAGCAAGAAGAUGUGGUGAAUUACAACCCAGUCAGUUUCUCCUUGACCAGAAGGUGAAGGAGCAAACAACCUUGCAAACUGGAAGUGAUUGGAAGUUUUCUGUGUGGAUUUUUAAAAAGAAAAAUCCUGCUUGACCAACAAGAUAGCCUUCUACAAUCAAAUGAAUGGUUUCAUGGACAAUGAGAGAGCAGUGGAUGUUAAAUUCUUUGAUCUUAAUAAGGCUUCUGAAAUUAUCUGCCAUAACAUCCACACUAACAAACUGAGGUAAUAGUGAGUGAAAUACAGAAGGACUGACUUAUGUGGUAUAGUCUAAAUGACAGGUUUUGGUUAUUGUCCUAAUUAAACUAUAGUUACCUAAGUUCAGGGCUGCCCCAUAGGUUUCCUCAAACAACUGUGUUAAAGUGAUUGGCUUGUUCUUUUGGCCUUAUAUGGGCUUGUUCCUUUGGUCAUAUGGUUACCUAGGUUCUAUUGUCAUUGCAGGAUUCUACUCUUCAAAAGGUUCCCAAGUGUUUCCCACUUAGCAUCUGUGCAUUUUCAUGGUUUCUCACUUCACUGUUACUUCCUGUGAAAUCCAGCCAUCUUUUGUGGUACUAUCUGUAAUUUCCAUCAGUGCUUCACUGUGGUAUUUUUCAAAUCUAGAAGCUUCUCAUGACAUAUCUCUUAGUUUUCCACAUCCUGAAGUGAAACACAGACAAAGUGAAACAAAAGCUUAAUUAUGUUUCCUCCAGCCCAAAAAACCUGAAUGCACACAAAAGAAAUAAAACAUUUCAGACUGUAUUUUCAUAAAAACUUUUGGGAAAUAAAACACUUAUGUAUAG